CCUACGGGAGGCAGCAGUGAGGAAUAUUGGUCAAUGGGCUUACGCCUGAACCAGCCAAGUCGCGUGAGGGAAGACUGCCCUAUGGGUUGUAAACCUCUUUUGUCAGGGAGCAAUUGGCGCUACGUGUAGCGUUAUCGAGAGUACCUGAGGAAAAAGCAUCGGCCAACUCCGUGCCAGCAGCCGCGGAAAUACGGAGAAUGCGAGAGUUAUCCGGAUUUAUGGGGUUUAAAGGGUGCGGAGGCGGAAUGCCAAGUCAGCGGUAAAAUGGCGGGGCUCAACCUCGCUCCGCCGUUGAAACUGGCGUGCUUGAGUGGGCGAGAAGUAUGCGGAAUGCGUGGUGUAGCGGUGAAAUGCAUAGAUAUCACGCAGAACUCCGAUUGCGAAGGCAGCAUACCGGCGCCCAACUGACGCUGAAGCACGAAAGCGUGGGUAUCGAACAGGAUUAGAUACCCCGGUAGUC
rnacentral:rRNA from 1 species